UGAGUAGCGUGGAUGGAGAAUAACGUGUGGCUGGAGAAAAAUAUGUUAAAAUGGAUAAGAUAAUAAAAGAUAAGGAUGCUCUAAUUAUGAACCUGCAGGCUCAAUUAUUGUUCGUAAUCAGUCCAUGCAGCGAUGGAACUGAACAAUUGUGGGACUGUAUUUGGGCCAAAAAUGGGUGUGGUACGGAAACCCAGAAAUAGCACGAGUUCAACCUAAAACAUGGAUUAGAAUUUUAGUGGGGGGAUCAAGUCAAGUCUGGAAGUGUUACAGGAUGGAAGAGUCAGCCUGUAGUUGAAAAAACACUGAGCGUGCAUUUCCGUUAAGGUGUGAGGUAAAGUAAUAGAGUAAUGCAAAUUGUCUAAUGAGAAGUACCAUCUUGUGUUAAUGAAUCCGGUACA